UUUCUCUGCGCUCCGUUUGCCGGUCUCUCUCCUCUCUCUCUCUGUUCUCGCGGUCUCCCUGUCUGUGGUGGUUUCUGAUCUCCCAAGCGCGAAACGCUCAGUUUGCCGGUAUCCCUAUUCUUCCGAUCUCCUCCUCCGAUUGUCGCCGGUCUCUCUCGCCUCUACCUGGCGAUUUUGUUUCAAAGUCCCAAAAGUCUGUCUAGUCUAGCUUUUUGCUGGUGGGGAAACAAGUUUUAGGUGGGGAUUUUCAUACAUGAACAGAUGGAGAAUCAGAGAUGCUCAAAAGUCAUGGUUCUGAAAGCCAGUGCUUAGAGAUGCCAAGAAAAACUAGAGAUGAGAGGCUACUUUUUUGGAGUCUUGCUGCAGAGGCUUUUUUGCUAGAGAGAUUGUACGAAUAUCACGACGAUAACCACGGUCGCCUACUAGAAUCUCGUCACUAUAAUCAAUGGGCCUCAGAAAUGGCCGGUUUUUUUUAUGGCUAUGUUCCCGAUGGUGAGCGUCUUAGGGAGAAACGCCGACGAUUGGGUAAGGUAUACGCCGCAUACAAAAUGUUACAAAGUCAUACAAGAGUAGGAUGAGAUUCUACCACUACAACUUUCACCUGUUUCGAGGAGCUGCAGAAAGAUCUUUGUAAGGUUCGGCACAUGAUGCACGAGUGCUUGCGGAUACGGUCGAGAAACGCAGGUUUAAUUUCCCACAUCCACCGCCUGGAAAAUACUCUCUUGUUGACGCGGCAUAUGCGAACAAUGAUUGUUUUCUUGCUCCAUACAGAGGUGGGACUUACUACUUGCCUGACUACCAAAGGAGAAGUGGUGGAUUUAAGGGACCUAGAGAUAUUUUUAACUACAAACACUCAUCCUUGCGAAACUGUAUAGAGCGAACAUUUGGUGUUUGGAAUGCUAGGUUCCCUAUCUUAAGGCGGUCCAAUAACACUUAUCCAAUGACUAAACAAGUACAGAUUCCAGUGGCAUGUGCAAUCUUACAUAAUUUUAUUCACAUGGUAAAUGAGGAGGACCCGCUUCUAAGUUAAUACUACCGUGAUGGAGUACCAGUUAGUGAAAUAGAUCCAACCAAUAGUGAUGAAUUUGAGGACGAUGACGAUGACGGCAAUGUCCCUGAGGGGCCAACAGUAACAGGAGCUACUGUUAGCCGAACAGAGAUGGGUCGUUUUAGGGGUCGUUUUAGGCAUCGCCUGGCGAAUGACAUGUGGGUGGAAUACCAAAAAAGCCAUGGGAGACAAGCUUGAAAGUGCAAAUCAGGAAUGGGAUUCUACCUUUAUUACUUCAUACUCAUGUAUCAUGUCAUCUAAUUUUUUUGCAACCUGAAUGACUGCUAAUAUUUCGCUACGUAAUUUACAUGGCCAAAAAUUGGUUCUUAUUUUUGUCAUAGUGCUAAAUCAGAAACAA